rnacentral:lncRNA from 1 species
AGUUCUUUCUCUAAUACAUUACUGAUCCUAGGUCAGCAUGUAAGGCCAGGAGCAAAGUUGGAUUCCAAAAUGAGUUUUAGUUCAUCUCAUAGAGACACAGCAAAAUAAGGGGGUGUGCAAACUUGGAAAUAAAAAAUGAACAAAAGUGUAUAUAAGACUGCAAUUUGUAUACGCAAGUUGAAAUUUGGAUGCAAAUUUGGAUUUGAGGGUCAGAUUGGGGAAGUUGCAUUGCUGUUGUAAUUUUGGAACAGUUAAACUGUGGGGAUUCGUAUACAUGUGGCAAUCUCUGAAUCUGAUUGUGAUUUUACUGUAA